AUUGAGAUGGCUGAUAAAAGUAAUAAAUUGUAAAUUUAUUAAUGAAUUUAAUUAAUAAUUCUCUCAAUA
rnacentral:tRNA from 1 species